rnacentral:rRNA from 1 species
CGACCUCGGAUCAGACGUGAUUACCCGCUGAACUUAAGCAUAUCACUAAGCGGAGGAAAAGAAACUAACAAGGAUUCCCCUAGUAACUGCGAGUGAACAGGGAUUAGCCCAACACCGAAGCCUGCGGUUAUUUGAUCGUAAGGCAAUGUGGUGUUUAGGGUGGCUUCAGGCAUUACUGCUCUGUCCCAAGUCCAGCAAUGAGUACGGCUUCCCAUUCUGGCCCAAAGAGGGUGAAAGGCCCGUGGGGGCAGAGAUCAAGUGUGACAGUUUUGCUCUGAGCUACCCUGGAGUCGGGUUGUUUGUGAAUGCAGCCCAAAGUGGGUGGUAACUCCAUCCAAGGCUAAAUACUUACACGAGUCCGAUAGCAAACAAGUACCGUGAGGGAAAGUUGAAAAGUACUUGAAGAGAGAGUAAACAGUGCGUGAAACCGCUCAAAGGUAAACGGGUGGAGUUGAACUGCAAGCUCUGGGAAUUCAGCUGAUGAGUGUGAUUUGUACUUGGGCAUACUGGCCGCCUUCAGUGUCUGUUUAACCGCAGGUGCCUUCCUUUUUGGUGGGUAUGUGUGAAUCGUUUGCUUACGACGCGCGCACUGUUGGUGUGAGGGUCUGCUUGUCAGUGCACUUUCUCAGGGUGUUCACCACGACCGGCACUGCUGCCUGUCUGCUAUGGUCAAACUGAUCAGGUCUGAUUUCUGUCAGUCUUGGUUGGGUCGGUAGGUGGCUCUUUGGCUCAUUUAUGGGCCGUGAGUGUUACUAACUGGCUGUAGUGGAUCUGUGCGGUGUGUCGGAGAUGGCGGCUUCGCAUGCGUGCUUAGACCUUCGGGCAUUGCUGAGUGUGGUCGGUUUGUUACUAGCUUCGGCUGGUCGGCUGAUGGCUUGGUUUUGUCACGUCGGCGGUUGCGUGUGUGGUUUGCAUUGGGCCAAUAAUCUGUGGUGUAGUGGUAGACGAUCCACCUGACCCGUCUUGAAACACGGACCAAGGAGUUUAACAUGUGCGCGAGUCAUUGGGUGUUACGAAACCCAAAGGCGAAGUGAAGGUAAAGGUUCGGCUUGUCCGGACUAAGGUGAGAUCCUGUUGUCUUGCUCAUACUUUCCAAGUUGCGAGCAGCGGGCGCAUCACCGGCCCGUCCCAUGACGUAGACAUGUGACCUCGUGUUGUGUGCACCGUCGGGGCGGAGCAAGAGCGUACACGUUGAGACCCGAAAGAUGGUGAACUAUGCUUGUGAAGGUUGAAGCCAGAGGAAACUCUGGUGGAGGACCGUAGCGAUUCUGACGUGCAAAUCGAUCGUAUAACGUGAGUAUAGGGGCGAAAGACUAAUCGAACUAUCUAGUAGCUGGUUCCCUCCGAAGUUUCCCUCAGGAUAGCUGGCAUUCUGAGAAAUAAACAGUUUUAUCCGGUAAAGCGAAUGAUUAGAGGCAUUGGGGAGGAAUCAUCCUCAACCUAUUCUCAAACUUUAAAUGGGUGAGAAGCUUAACUCGCUUGAUUGGAGUUUUGCAUUGAAUGUGAGUGCCAAGUGGGCCAUUUUUGGUAAGCAGAACUGGCGCUGUGGGAUGAACCAAACGUUCGGUUAAGGUGCCUAACACGACGCUCAUGAGAUACCACAAAAGGUGUUGGUUGGUCUAGACAGCAGGACGGUGGCCAUGGAAGUCGGAAGCCGCUAAGGAGUGUGUAACAACUCACCUGCCGAAUCAACCAGCCCUGAAAAUGGAUGGCGCUCGAGCGUUGGACCUAUACCGGACCGUUGCUGUAAGCUAGGCCUAUGCUGUGUGAGGGCAAGCUGCACUUGGUCUAGGCAUGGAGUGACGGCAACGAGUAGGAGGGUCGCUGUGGCUAGCGGGAAGCCUCAGGCGUGAGCCUAGGUGAAGCAACCACAGGCGCAGAUCUUGGUGGUAGUAGCAAAUAUUCAAGUGAGAACCUUGAAGGCCGAGGUGGAGAAGGGUUCCAUGGGAACAGCAGUUGACCAUGGGUCAGGCGGUCCUAAGUGAUCCGGUAAAUCGGAACAGAGACGGGGUGCCUGACAUUGUCCGUUCGCGGGCUUUGUUCAGUAAUCUGCAAAGUACUGUUGCAUUGCAGCCCCCUGUAGCGAAAGGGAAUCGGGUUAAUAUUCCCGACCCUGUCCACGGAGAUUGGUGUGUGUCGGGCCUUUGGUUCGGCGUGCGCCCAGCGCGGUAACGCAACCGACCUCGGAGACGUCGGCGAGAGUUCUGGGAAGAGUUCUCUUUUCUUUGUUAGGAGUGCAUCCACCCCCUGGAAUCGGCUUGUCCGGAGAUAGGGGGCUAGCCUCCGUAAAGCACCACCCUUCUUGUGGUGUCCGGAACGCUCUUGUCGGCCCUUGAAAAUCCGAGCGAGGCAGUAUAAUUUUCGUGGCAGGCCGUACCCAUAUCCGCAGCAGGUCUCCAAGGUGAACAGCCUCUGGCAAUUGAACAAUGUAGGUAAGGGAAGUCGGCAAAUUGGAUCCGUAACUUCGGGAGAAGGAUUGGCUCUGGGGGCCGAGUCAGAC